AUGACCUCGGAUCAGGUAGGGAUACCCCGCUGAACUUAAGCAUAUCAAUAAGCGGAGGAAAAGAAACCAACAGGGAUUACCUCAGUAACGGCGAGUGAAGCGG
rnacentral:rRNA from 1 species